rnacentral:rRNA from 1 species
CUUGUUGGUAGGGUAAUGGCCUACCAAGGCUUCGAUGGUUAGCUGGUCUGAGAGGAUGAUCAGCCACACUGGAACUGACACACGGUCCAGACUCCUACGGGAGGCAGCAGUGAGGAAUUUUGCCCAAUGGGGGAAACCCUGAGGCAGCAACGCCGCGUGAGUGAUGAAGGCUUUCGGGUCGUAAAGCUCUGUCAAGUGGGAAGAACCUGCAAAAUAUAAAUACUGUUUUGCACUGACGGUACCACUGAAGGAAGCACCGGCUAACUCCGUGCCAGCAGCCGCGGUAAUACGGGGGGUGCAAGCGUUAUUCGGAAUUAUUGGGCGUAAAGGGCGCGUAGGCGGUCUUUUAAGUCAGAUGUGAAAGCCCGGGGCUUAACCCCGGAAGUGCAUUUGAAACUAAGGGACUUGAGUAUGGGAGAGGGAAGUGGAAUUCCUGGUGUAGAGGUGAAAUUCGUAGAUAUCAGGAGGAACACCGGUGGCGAAGGCGACUUCCUGGACCAAUACUGACGCUGGGGCGCGAAGGCGUGGGAAGCAAACAGGUUUAGAUGCCCUGGUAGUCCACGCAGUAAACGUUGAACACUAGGUGUAGCGGGUAUUGACCCCUGCUGUGCCGCAGUUAACGCAUUAAGUGUUCCGCCUGGGAGUACGAUCGCAAGAUUAAAACUCAAAGGAAUUGACGGGGGCCCGCACAAGCGGUGGAGCAUGUGGUUUAAUUCGACGCAACGCGAAGAACCUUACCUGGAUUUGACAUCCCGAGAAGUCUUUCGAAAGAUAGAUGUGCCCCUCGGGGAACUCGGUGACAGGUGCUGCAUGGCUGUCGUCAGCUCGUGUCGUGAGAUGUUGGGUUAAGUCCCGCAACGAGCGCAACCCCUAUCUUUAGUUACCAUCAUUCAGUUGGGGACUCUAGAGAUACUGCCGCGGUUAACGGGGAGGAAGGUGGGGAUGACGUCAAGUCCUCAUGGCCCUCAUAUCCAGGGCUACACACGUGCUACAAUGGGCUGUACAAAGGGUAGCGAACCUGCGAGGGUGAGCCAAUCCCAUAAAACAGUUCUCAGUUCGGAUUGGAGUCUGCAACUCGACUCUAUGAAGUUGGAAUCGCUAGUAAUCGUGGAUCAGCACGCCACGGUGAAUACGUUCCCGGGCCUUGUACACACCGCCCGUCACACCAUGAGAGUUGGUUGUACCAGAAGUUGUUGGGCCAACCCGUAAGGGGGGUAGGCACCUAAGGUAUGAUUGAUGAUUAGGGUGAAGUCGUAACAAGGUAGCCGUUGGGGAACCAGCGGCUG